GCCCGGGUGGCGAAAUUGGUAGACGCACCACUUUGAGGUGGUGGCGCCUGAAAAGGCGUGCUGGUUCGAAUCCGGUCCCGGGCA
rnacentral:tRNA from 1 species